GGGCGAUUAACUCAGUGGUAAGAGUGCCAUCUUCACACGGUGGAAGUCACAGGUUCGAAUCCCGUAUCGCCCACCA
rnacentral:tRNA from 1 species